rnacentral:rRNA from 1 species
UACGAAGGGGGCUAGCGUUGUUCGGAAUCACUGGGCGUAAAGCGCACGUAGGCGGAUCGUUAAGUCGGGGGUGAAAUCCCAGGGCUCAACCCUGGAACUGCCUUCGAUACUGGCGAUCUUCGAGUCCGGGAGAGGUGAGUGGAACUCCGAGUGUAGAGGUGAAAUUCGUAGAUAUUCGGAAGAACACCAGUGGCGAAGGCGGCUCACUGGCCCGGUACUGACGCUGAGGUGCGAAAAGCGUGGGGGAGCAAACAGG